rnacentral:lncRNA from 1 species
GACUUGGCACCAACACCCAGGCUGAACGCCAGAAGGGGCUCCGACUGGUCAUUGUUGGGAACCCCGCCGGACUCCAGUGCUUUGCCCCCCGCCUGAAACGGCUCGUGGACGCACUGAAACGGGGGGCGAACGCACCCACGCACAUCAGCGACCCGCGCACGUGGACACACACGGCCACGGCCCCAACCUGCCCGGCCCUCCCUAACUCACUUCUAAAGCAAGCCAAAUACCAGCACGCUAACCCAAAGACGAUACACGCCAUGGCUGACGAAGCACGACGCUUUCCUAACGCGCGAUUCCAGACCCACCAUGCUCCGGCCCACGACGUGAAUGGCACUGUCUGGACAGAUGGUUCGGUAAGCAAAAUCAAAACUGAAAAUGGCAAAGAAGUCCAGGUUGCCGGCGCCUGCGCCUGGUUCAGCGAUUCUCGCGUUGUCUACGUGAAUCCAAAUGGCGCUGGGUGCACAAACACUAUUACGAGAGCUGAACUGGCAGCAAUUCGUGCUGCCCUCGCAGAAUUUGGUGGCGAAGGUAAAGAAUUUGCAACUAAGAAGCUCACUAUUGCAUCAGAUUCUGUUGCAAGCCUGUACCUAAUCAAACGAGCAAUUAACGAGCCUCGGCGACUGCAUCUGAGUAAACAUCGGGACCUCCUGGAUUCAGU